UACGUAGGGUGCAAGCGUUAAUCGGAAUUACUGGGCGUAAAGCGUGCGCAGGCGGUUGUGCAAGACAGAUGUGAAAUCCCCGGGCUCAACCUGGGAAUGGCGAUGGAUACUGGCGAGCUAGAGUACGGUAGAGGAGACUGGAAUUUACGGUGUAGCAGUGAAAUGCGUAGAUAUCGUAAGGAAGACCAGUGGCGAAGGCGAGUCUCUGGACAGUUACCGACGCUGAGGCACGAAGGUCAGGGGAGCAAACGGG
rnacentral:rRNA from 1 species